AUUUUGUAAUAACAAAUGCAACAUUUUUCUUGUACUAUGCAUUUCUGGGGGUGUCUCCUCUACUCCUGUUCUUUCCUAAGACAGGCUCACGGUAUUCCAACCAGAGAGGUAAAAUUAUAAUUAUGUGCCUACCUACCACCCAGGGUGUUUACGUGGCCUCAUAACUGAUCUGCAGGUUCAGUGAUCUGAGAGACAAACUUCACCGGCUUUCAAACAUUUUGGUCUCGGGAAUCCUUGAUACUCUUAAAAUCAUUGAGGAUUCCAAAGAACUUGUGUUAUUUACCACAUUAGAAAUAAAAACUUUAACUAUUUAAUAAUUUAAAAAAGAAUCACAAGACCACAAAAUGUUAACAUAAUAUUUAACGAUGAAAAAUGAUUAUAUUUUGCAACACAAACAGUGAGAAGAGUGGCAUCAUUCUACAUGUGUAACAAUCUCUUUAAUGUCUGACUUAAUAGAAGACAGCUGGGUUCUCAUAUUUGCUUCUGCAUUUCAUCUCUUGUGAAAUGUUGUUUUGAUUGAAGUGUAUCUAGAAAAUCCAGCUUCACACAGACAUGUCGUUGGAAAAGUGAGGAGUAUUAUAACAGCCUUUUCAGAUCGUCGUGGAUAUUUUUCUUUGAUACUGCACCAAAGCUCGACAAGUGGUUAGUUUCUUAAAGGUUAUUUUCAAUGUGAAAUCUGAAAGUACUAUCAAUGAACUUUUUGUAGUUUGUUAUAUUAAAAUCCAUAGGCACGUCUUGUACUUUGAUGAAUCUUUUACCCGUGCAUGAUUUUGUAAUUUCACAUACUGGUCUUUUGGAAAUUGUUGGUUCAUUGAGUUGUGCAUAUCAUUAUACAAUAUAAAAAAAAUCACAUUCAUUAAUUAUGACACCGAUGUCGUAAGAAGAGCACUUAAGCAUUGGGAAGCUGUGAAGUUCACAGUGAUAGAUACAAGUUUUCCAAAAUUUUAAUUUUUACUUGAAAGCUCAAAUUUUAUCAUUGGCAACAAUGCUGUCAUUUUUUCCCCCUUGAGGUUACGGAUUCACUUUGUUUAUUUUCGAGAAAACACCAAAUAUUCAAGUCUGAAUAAACCAUGGUUUGUUUGCCAAUUGUUCUUUCAAAUAGAAAUGGUGUUUGGUGAAACAAGGUGCAAGUGAGUAGUCUGGUCUGCAACUCAAUGGCUAAAGUAUGAGGAAAUACCCGUGCUUCUCUCUUCAGUCAGUAUGCAUGAAAAGUGCUUCAUGCACUUUUUGUUAACAUAGAAUAGUAAAAAGACUCAUACUCAAGGGUUGAACUUUAAUAAAAUCAAUAAGUUCUACUGAUUCAUCAAGGACUUUUUUUUAACGUUUAUUUUUGAGAGAGCACAAGCAGGGGAGGGGCAGAGAAAGAGGGAGACACAGAAUCUGAAGAAGGCUCCAGGCUCCCAGCUGUCAGCACAGAGCACGACGACGCGGGGCUCAAACUCCAGAACCCUAAGAUCAUGACCUGAGCCGAAGUCGGAAGCUUAACCCACUGAGCCACCAAGGCCCCCAUCAAGGACAUUCUUAAAUGAAACUGGCUUUCCUCCCUGCACCGUGUUUCCAUAAGCGAAGGUGCAAGAUUCACAUGUAUAUGCAUGUAUACGGACCCAAACGGGACAAAGCAAUUCCCCUACAUGGCAGGGAGAGCGCCGUGAGAAGACAUCAGAGACCUGGGUGACACAGCCAAGGAACACCAAAGAUUGGCAGCAAACCACCAAAAGCCAGGAGAGAGGCACAGAACACAUUCUCGCAGCCCUCAGAAGGAGCCAACCCUGCAGAAACCCUGGUCUCAGACUUCUAGCCUCCAGAGCUGUGACACAAUACAUUUCUGUUGUUUAAGCCAUCCAGUUUGUGUUACUUUGUUACAAAUGCCCUUGCAAAAGAAUAUAUGGUAUGACUGGGCUCAAACAAAGGUA